AGUUCUGUCAGUGGCACCUACAAGACAUACUUAACAUUAAAUAGAACGACAAGAUAAUCAAUUACAAGGUCUUGGAAACAAACCAACACACAAACCCAGAGGUGAUUUUACAAAUACACCUGUAGCAAGCUGGACAAAUGCCAGAGUUAAAUAACAACAGAAUAGUUAAGGAAACGCUUUGAAUGGAGGUGUAUUUUUCAAGAUUACACAUAGAUACAGGAACCAGGAAGAAGAACUUGAUAACAGGACCUUGCAUAAUUAAUCGAUUGAUCACUGAACUUCAUUGUCAUAUUUCUACGGUCAAAUUUUGGGAGAAAGCUGUCGCAAAUUCAUCAGAGUGUAGCAAUGCCCGAGUUGUAACUGAGUUCCAUCUGGGUGA
rnacentral:lncRNA from 10 species